CGACCUGGCGGAGAGAAAUAAGGCAGUUUAUAUAGACUGCAGAAAAUACAUUAGUUUAAACCUAUUUAUUUCAGCUCAGUUGCAUCGAAAUCCUUAGGCUUUUUAACUGCUGUUGAGUCCUUUUCCAAGAUAGAAUCACUACUUUGUGUCAUUGUGGAAGAUCUAAAGAACGCACUGUGGUGAUCGAGCCCAUGAACUCCUGGUGGCUAGGCAUACACCAUAUCCCCUUUACCCAGGCGACAAUUUAGUCCUCAUUUUUAAGAACUGUUUUCAGUACUAUGACAUAAUUUGCAAGUUUGCCACAGAAAAUUCAAUAACAUCUGCCAAAUUUGAGUAUAAGCAUUAUUGCUUUCAAAUAAGUUUUUUUAUUUCUGGACGAAAAUCAAGUGUGAGAGCUAGAACUUUUCAAGCCAUUAGGCUUUUAUGUUGCAUUUUAUUGCUCUUUAUAAAAUGUUUACUGUUAUUAUUAUUAUGAACUGCACAGGCCAAUCUGGGAUGACACCUAACACAUUUGCAUUAAGCCCUGUUUUCCCAGAGCAAGGCAUAUAUGUUUGAUAUCUCGUACCUGAUAUCUAGGUCCUCUUCCAGCACUGUCUCCAUGCGUUGCAUAAGGCUCACAAAGUCACCCACCCCCUUCACAGCGGCCCCCAGGGAGUUCUGGAGGUCAGGGGCGUAACCCUUGCCUCCCAGCCUGAUUUUCAUAAUGUACGAGGUGGCAGUCUGAGGAAAAGUGUGCAGCUUCAACAGAAAUACAGCAGCAAUGAUUUUAAGCAAGGUGCUUGAGGUCAGUAAAUGCUGCAUGAGUGAGCUCCCUUUCUGGAACAUUGAACACUCGGGACAUGGCCAGCUCUGAGCGGGAAUUCACCAGAAGCUCCAGGUAGGACAGGUAGAUGGUGCGCACAUAGGCCUGCAAUGGAG